rnacentral:rRNA from 1 species
UACGUAGGGUGCGAGCGUUGUCCGGAAUUAUUGGGCGUAAAGGGCUCGUAGGCGGUUUGUCGCGUCGGGAGUGAAAACACUGGGCUUAACUCAGUGCUUGCUUCCGAUACGGGCAGACUAGAGGUAUUCAGGGGAGAACGGAAUUCCUGGUGUAGCGGUGAAAUGCGCAGAUAUCAGGAGGAACACCGGUGGCGAAGGCGGAUCUCUGGGAAUGUCCUGACGCUGAGGAGCGAAAGUGUGGGGAGCGAGCAGG